GUUUAAUGUAGGUCAAUCCUUUUACUAACUUAGGGCUCAUUUGCUUUCAGUGAGUAUGAAAUUGUGCUUUCUUAGUAUUGUUUUGUCUUUUUUACAUUUGUCUGAGAAAAAGCAACAAGUUGAAGAGAAGGUGAUUAGUCAUCAGGAGUUUCAGAUGGCAAACGAGUGCAGGUUUGGCGUGGAGAUUACUGAUGAAGAGUUUGAGCUGCUACUUGACAGAAUCCCCCUUGAUGAAGAUGGAAAUGUCAGAUACCCCCAGUUCAUGGCCAGGUUUGAUUCCUGAGGGCCGUGUGGAAUCGUCCUAAUCCGGGAAGAGCCACUGCCUCCCUGUGUGAUCUGACACAGUGACAUAUCACUUGACCUCGGUCGCGGCAGCUGUACAGCGAGGUGGAAAAGGCGGCUGACGGACAAGCAGGGGAUGCCUUUCAGCACAGCUUCCUCGGGAUACAGUUGAGAAGAAUGUAUGCUAUAUGGAAGAACACGCAGAAGUUGUGAGCAACCACACGGUCUGAAUGUUAAGGGUUCAUCCAUCUUCCUGCACAAGAAUGCCUUUAUCUGGAAAAGACAAACAUCCCAGGAGUCUGUAAGAAGUAAGAAGUAAGCUGUUGCAGCUUGAAUUUGUGAGAGGACUUCUGUGGAGCCUGAACCACCUCCCUCCAUCUCAAAGGAGACCGAGCCUUCCCUCUUUCUUAAAGCAAGGCACCCUGGCAGCCUGCAUAGUAAGAUUGUAGCUCAGCAAGCUCCUGCUUGCAGCAUGUCCCAGCAGGCUGCAGAAGGGGAACGUGGAAAGGCAGACCCACUCCAAGGCUUUUGACUUGCCACACCUUUCCGAGAGGAUGACAUCUCAGAGGCUCUGUGUCUGUCCCAGAUUGUGACUGUUUUCUUCUGAAGAGCAAACGUGAGAUUCAAAGAGCGCCUGGCAAAAGCUGCUUCUAGUACUGCAGCAGCAGCAUGGGAAAUAUUUCAUUUACAGUGACGGGAAGACUCUCUGAAGAGCCCUUAAGAAGCCACAUGUUGGCAGCUGAAUUUCAAUCCAUCCCAAAUCUCCACAGCUUCCUGCUAGAAGAGGAUGAAAUUGACCACAUGCUCUCAAAAUUCAUCUCAGUCUGAAAAGGCAGGUUAACUGCAAAUCCAUUUGGGGAAAAAAUUAUAACAACAACAACAACAACAAAAUUAAAAACUGCUACAAAUUAAUGUAGAAUAUUCCUUUGAGAAGGAUAACAGCCUUUAUGUCCCCCCAGUUGCCUAUCCUUCUAACUACGUCACAUGUAUAUUUCUCCUAUUUAUGUCCCUGGUCUAUUGACUGUGGGUCUGUACUGUACGUUGUUUUGUGGAGAGGUGGUAGAAGCCCUUUCUGAGAGCUUAAAGCAAAGCUGAAAAUAAGGCAGUUACAAACUAUGCGUAACGUAUGUUAUGUGACUGAGAAAACGAGCUGUCUGAAAAGGGGAGGCUAAGGUGCUCUAUGGAGAUUUGAGAAGGUGAAAUAUUCAAGCUGCUUUGCUGCCGGGUGCCUCCUCACAACAGAGCAGUGUUCCUUUGGCCUCACAGAAUUAGUUUAAGUCCUGCACGUGCAUGUGGGAGGGUAGAUUACUGUGCCUAGUUGUGUCAUCUUUUCUUCUUGGAGGAACAGUUCAUGCCUUCAGUACAGCAGGCAGUAGGACCUGCUCUGCAGUUGUUCUGCACCUGACUUCACUUUCACCAUCAGUGUAACUCAGUGUUUAGGACCAAGGUAGGUUACUUAUUUUCCUUACAUCUUUGCAAACACAGGGCUGUGUGUCUCAGUUAGUAAACUGAGCACCAAGAGCCAGUGAAAUAUGGAUCACUUACCUGUUUGGUAAGGUCUCUGCUGAUGCAGCUACAUCAUGCCUCCUCCUCGUGUAGCAGCUCUAGCUUCAGGGGUUUCCAGAAAGCUUUGUCUACUUGCAAGAGCUAAGGAUUUGGUCCAGAAUAUACACAAGUAGGUAAAUAGCAUGUUUGUUUGGUUGCUUUAAUAUACUGACUUUCCUGCAGGCAGUAAUUUGUAACCGACUAUAAGCAUUGGUACCCUUAGGCAACAUUUAAUUGGUUGUCAUGCAUCUUAGCCAUCUAACAGGUUUUUUUGGCUUUCCACAACGAAAAAUACACUUCUGGUCUUGUUCUUUUUCCAAAUACUUUCCCUCCUCCAGACAUCAAAGGGAAUUUACAGAACUUUCAGUAAUAAAACUCCAAUAAAAGGUUGCUUUUUUCCUCUCUCUUUGGUUAAAGAAAUGAGAAGGUAACAUAUGAAUAAAGUAUGUGAUGUAAGAAAAUUGUUA
rnacentral:lncRNA from 1 species